GUGCCAGCAGCCGCGGUAAUACGUAGGGUGCGAGCGUUAAUCGGAAUUACUGGGCGUAAAGCGAGCGCAGACGGUUAUUUAAGCAGGAUGUGAAAUCCCCGAGCUCAACUUGGGAACUGCGUACUGAACUGGGUAACUAGAGUGUGUCAGAGGGGGGUAGAAUUCCACGUGUAGCAGUGAAAUGCGUAGAGAUGUGGAGGAAUACCGAUGGCGAAGGCAGCCCCCUGGGAUAACACUGACGUUCAUGCUCGAAAGCGUGGGUAGCAAACAGGAUUAGAUACCCUGGUAGUCCACGCCCUAAACGAUGUCAAUUAGCUGUUGGGGUGCUUGACACCUUAGUAGCGUAGCUAACGCGUGAAAUUGACCGCCUGGGGAGUACGGUCGCAAGAUUAAAACUCAAAUGAAUUGACGG
rnacentral:rRNA from 1 species